rnacentral:lncRNA from 1 species
UGUGUGUGUAUAUAUAUAUAUUUUUUUUUUUUUUUUUUUUUUUGGGAUAGAGUCUCACUGUCGUUGCCCGGGCUGGAGUGCAAUGGUGAGAUCUCGGCUCACUGCUACCUCUGCCUCCCAGGUUCCAGCAAUUCUCCUGCCUCAGCCUCCCGAGUAGCUGAGACUACAGGUGCCCAUCACUACACCUGGCUAAUUUUUUGUAUUUUUAGGAAGAGAUAGGGUUUCACCAGGUUGGCCAGGCUGGUCUCAAACUCCUGACCUCAGGUGAUCCACCUGCCUUGGCCUCCCAAAGUGCUGGAAUUACAGGGGUGAGCCACCGCACCCGGCAUAGGAUAGAUUUUUAUAUUGUUUAUGGAGGUUACUAUUCUAGCCAUUUUAUGACAAUUAGUCAUCUUCAAAUAUUAUCCCACAACACAUAAUUAUAAAAUAUUUCCACAAUCUUGAUAAAAAAAAUUGUUGACUUCUUUUGUCAGGUAUCAACAAAGCAUGUACAAGGUAAUG